AAUAGAUACCCUGGUAGUCCACGCCGUAAACGAUGUCGACUUGGAGGUUGUGCCCUUGAGGCGUGGCUUCCGGAGCUAACGCGUUAAGUCGACCGCCUGGGGAGUACGGCCGCAAGGUUAAAACUCAAAUGAAUUGACGGGGGCCCGCACAAGCGGUGGAGCAUGUGGUUUAAUUCGAUGCAACGCGAAGAACCUUACCUACUCUUGACAUCCACGGAAUUUAGCAGAGAUGCUUUAGUGCCUUCGGGAACCGUGAGACAGGUGCUGCAUGGCUGUCGUCAGCUCGUGUUGUGAAAUGUUGGGUUAAGUCCCGCAACGAGCGCAACCCUUAUCCUUUGUUGCCAGCGAUUCGGUCGGGAACUCAAAGGAGACUGCCAGUGAUAAACUGGAGGAAGGUGGGGAUGACGUCAAGUCAUCAUGGCCCUUACGAGUAGGGCUACACACGUGCUACAAUGGCAUAUACAAAGAGAAGCGACCUCGCGAGAGCAAGCGGACCUCAUAAAGUAUGUCGUAGUCCGGAUUGGAGU
rnacentral:rRNA from 1 species